rnacentral:rRNA from 1 species
UGCAAGUCGAGGGGCAUCAGGAACACCGUUUGCUUUCUUUGCUGGCGACCGGCGCACGGGUGAGUAACACGUAUCCAACCUGCCCUUUACUCGGGGAUAGCCUUUCGAAAGAAAGAUUAAUACCCGAUGGCAUAAUGAUUCCGCAUGGUUUCAUUAUUAAAGGAUUCCGGUAAAGGAUGGGGAUGCGUUCCAUUAGGUUGUUGGUGAGGUAACGGCUCACCAAGCCUUCGAUGGAUAGGGGUUCUGAGAGGAAGGUCCCCCACAUUGGAACUGAGACACGGUCCAAACUCCUACGGGAGGCAGCAGUGAGGAAUAUUGGUCAAUGGGCGCUAGCCUGAACCAGCCAAGUAGCGUGAAGGAUGAAGGCUCUAUGGGUCGUAAACUUCUUUUAUAUAAGAAUAAAGUGCAGUAUGUAUACUGUUUUGUAUGUAUUAUAUGAAUAAGGAUCGGCUAACUCCGUGCCAGCAGCCGCGGUAAUACGGAGGAUCCGAGCGUUAUCCGGAUUUAUUGGGUUUAAAGGGAGCGUAGGUGGACUGGUAAGUCAGUUGUGAAAGUUUGUGGCUCAACCGUAAAAUUGCAGUUGAUACUGUCAGUCUUGAGUACAGUAGAGGUGGGCGGAAUUCGUGGUGUAGCGGUGAAAUGCUUAGAUAUCACGAAGAACUCCGAUUGCGAAGGCAGCUCACUGGACUGCAACUGACACUGAUGCUCGAAAGUGUGGGUAUCAAACAGGAUUAGAUACCCUGGUAGUCCACACAGUAAACGAUGAAUACUCGCUGUUUGCGAUAUACAGUAAGCGGCCAAGCGAAAGCAUUAAGUAUUCCACCUGGGGAGUACGCCGGCAACGGUGAAACUCAAAGGAAUUGACGGGGGCCCGCACAAGCGGAGGAACAUGUGGUUUAAUUCGAUGAUACGCGAGGAACCUUACCCGGGCUUAAAUUGCAGUGGAAUGAUGUGGAAACAUGUCAGUGAGCAAUCACCGCUGUGAAGGUGCUGCAUGGUUGUCGUCAGCUCGUGCCGUGAGGUGUCGGCUUAAGUGCCAUAACGAGCGCAACCCUUAUCUUUAGUUACUAACAGGUUAUGCUGAGGACUCUAGAGAGACUGCCGUCGUAAGAUGUGAGGAAGGUGGGGAUGACGUCAAAUCAGCACGGCCCUUACGUCCGGGGCUACACACGUGUUACAAUGGGGGGUACAGAAGGCAGCUAGCGGGUGACCGUAUGCUAAUCCCAAAAGCCUCUCUCAGUUCGGAUCGAAGUCUGCAACCCGACUUCGUGAAGCUGGAUUCGCUAGUAAUCGCGCAUCAGCCACGGCGCGGUGAAUACGUUCCCGGGCCUUGUACACACCGCCCGUCAAGCCAUGGGAGCCGGGGGUACCUGAAGUACGUAACCGCAAGGAUCGUCCUAGGGUAAAACUGGUGACUGGGGCUAA